UCAUUUCUGUGUUUUCUCCUAAGAACACACAUACCAAAGUCCAAAAUUAUAUGUAUAGGUCCAUUUGGAGAAAGAAAGAUCAGGCGGUUGCGAUCUCUCCAUGGGAAGCAGUGAAGGAGGAGAUGAUGCGUACGCAUGCCCUAGCUUUAGCAGCUAUUCAUCGGACCGGAUAGCGGAGAUCGCCGUAAAGGUGGCGGCGGAGAGCUCGAGGAAUAACGGCGAUGAAGAUUUUGAGUUCGCUCUAGUGCGUCAGGAUAUUGCGGAGGAGAAUUUGUUAGGCGACGGCCAAAUUUUCCCCGUGUUCAAUCGCAAUCUGUUGUUAAAUCGCGAUGGAGAAUUCAGCCAAAGCUGCGAAAGCAAGGAGCUGGAAGCGAGUGUUGUUGCGGUUCCAUUGAGCAAACUAUUGCUCGAAGAGGAUCGCGAGCUUAAUAAUCCUCCGUCGUGCUCGUCGUCCGAAGCCGACGAAUUGGAGAACAUUCCUGCAGGUACGUACUGCGUUUGGCGGCCGAAACCAGCCGAUCAGCCCUCUCCGAGUCCGAGCAGAUGUGACAAGAGCAUGUCCACCGGAUCUGGUUCGAAGCGGUGGAAGUUUCGCGAUUUGCUCCGGCGGAGCAAUAGUGAGGGGAAGGGAAACUUCGUCUUCGUAACUCCGAAGAAAACUGAAGAAAUCUCAUCAUCUGAAGCUCCAAAAAAGGCGAAGGCAAAAACCGUCAGCUCCUCCGCUUCCGGCGGCUCGCCAUCAGCGCACGAAGCUCUGUACCUACGUAACAGGGCGAUGAAGGAAGGAGAUAAGAGGAAAUCGUAUCUCCCUUACAAGCAGGACAUCCUUGGGAUUUUCGUGAAUAUCAACGGUCUGGAUCGAAAGCAGGACUCAUUUGAUCGAUCACAUUGGUGAUGAUGGUUUGUAACUUUAUCGUUCCGAUCAUGAAAAACCACCAAUAAAUUCAUAUAAUAUGUCGAAUAUGUGAGCAUCAAGGGUAAACAUUUGGCAACACCUUUAUCAAACAGAGGCAAGGCAAGAGGCGUACAUUCCCUCAACUGUGCACAGCGAGUGGCCAUUGUUGGUUGAGUAUUUCUGUUAAAGAGCAUGUAGCUGAUACCGACGCUUCAUCUUUUGUGGUAUGUAAUAUUUACUGUCUAGAGGAGUGAAUUAAUUGACUUACGCAGUCUCAAAAUGGGUUGAGCCAUCUAUCUAUAUCUAUAUCUAUCUGCAAUUUCAUCUUGCAAUAUACAUUUCAAUUAUUGCAAAAGCAGGUUGGAUGUCGCCAUUUAUUGACGAUGUUCGAAAGGAUUCUUCAUU